rnacentral:tRNA from 1 species
AGUUAAUGAACUUGAUAUAAGUAUAUGUUUUGAAAGCAUAAUAAAGAGGUCAAUUCCUCUAUUAACUU